rnacentral:rRNA from 1 species
GAUGAACGCUGGCGGUGUGCCUAAUACAUGCAAGUCGAGCGAACGGACGAGAAGCUUGCUUCUCUGAUGUUAGCGGCGGACGGGUGAGUAACACGUGGAUAACCUACCUAUAAGACUGGGAUAACUUCGGGAAACCGUAGCUAAUACCGGAUAAUAUUUUGAACCGCAUGGUUCAAAAGUGAAAGACGGUCUUGCUGUCACUUAUAGAUGGAUCCGCGCUGCAUUAGCUAGUUGGUAAGGUAACGGCUUACCAAGGCAACGAUGCAUAGCCGACCUGAGAGGGUGAUCGGCCACACUGGAACUGAGACACGGUCCAGACUCCUACGGGAGGCAGCAGUAGGGAAUCUUCCGCAAUGGGCGAAAGCCUGACGGAGCAACGCCGCGUGAGUGAUGAAGGUCUUCGGAUCGUAAAACUCUGUUAUUAGGGAAGAACAUAUGUGUAAGUAACUGUGCACAUCUUGACGGUACCUAAUCAGAAAGCCACGGCUAACUACGUGCCAGCAGCCGCGGUAAUACGUAGGUGGCAAGCGUUAUCCGGAAUUAUUGGGCGUAAAGCGCGCGUAGGCGGUUUUUUAAGUCUGAUGUGAAAGCCCACGGCUCAACCGUGGAGGGUCAUUGGAAACUGGAAAACUUGAGUGCAGAAGAGAAAAGUGGAAUUCCAUGUGUAGCGGUGAAAUGCGCGGAGAUAUGGAGGAACACCAGUGGCGAAGGCGACUUUCUGGUCUGUAACUGACGCUGAUGUGCGAAAGCGUGGGGAUCAAACAGGAUUAGAUACCCUGGUAGUCCACGCCGUAAACGAUGAGUGCUAAGUGUUAGGGGGUUUCCGCCCCUUAGUGCUGCAGCUAACGCAUUAAGCACUCCGCCUGGGGAGUACGACCGCAAGGUUGAAACUCAAAGGAAUUGACGGGGACCCGCACAAGCGGUGGAGCAUGUGGUUUAAUUCGAAGCAACGCGAAGAACCUUACCAAAUCUUGACAUCCUUUGACAACUCUAGAGAUAGAGCCUUCCCCUUCGGGGGACAAAGUGACAGGUGGUGCAUGGUUGUCGUCAGCUCGUGUCGUGAGAUGUUGGGUUAAGUCCCGCAACGAGCGCAACCCUUAAGCUUAGUUGCCAUCAUUAAGUUGGGCACUCUAAGUUGACUGCCGGUGACAAACCGGAGGAAGGUGGGGAUGACGUCAAAUCAUCAUGCCCCUUAUGAUUUGGGCUACACACGUGCUACAAUGGACAAUACAAAGGGCAGCGAAACCGCGAGGUCAAGCAAAUCCCAUAAAGUUGUUCUCAGUUCGGAUUGUAGUCUGCAACUCGACUACAUGAAGCUGGAAUCGCUAGUAAUCGUAGAUCAGCAUGCUACGGUGAAUACGUUCCCGGGUCU